rnacentral:rRNA from 1 species
AAAGAAAGAGGGAGGCAGGAAGAAAAAAGGAAAGUAGAACGAGAAUUUUGGGUCUAGUGGAGCAGGGGUGAGUAACGUGUGGGAACCUGCCGUUAGGUUGGGAAUAACUCCCCGAAAGGGGUGCUAAUACCGGAUAAUGUCUUCGGACCAAAGAUUUAUCGCCUUUGGAUGGGCCCGCGUUGGAUUAGCUAGUUGGUAGGGUAAAAGCCUACCAAGGCGACGAUCCAUAGCUGGUCUGAGAGGAUGAUCAGCCACACUGGGACUGAGACACGGCCCAGACUCCUACGGGAGGCAGCAGUGGGGAAUAUUGGACAAUGGGCGAAAGCCUGAUCCAGCAAUGCCGCGUGAGUGAUGAAGGCCUUAGGGUUGUAAAGCUCUUUUACCCGGGAUGAUAAUGACAGUACCGGGAGAAUAAGCGCCGGCUAACUCCGUC